AUACGGAGGGUGCAAGCGUUGUUCGGAAUUACUGGGCGUAAAGCGCGCGUAGGCGGUCUGUUAUGUCAGAUGUGAAAGUCCUCGGCUCGACCGGGGAAGUGCAUUUGAAACUGGCAGACUUGAGUACUGGAGGGGGUGGUGGAAUUCCCGGUGUAGAGGUGAAAUGCGUAGAUAUCGGGAGGAAUACCGGUGGCGAAGGCGACCACCUGGCCAGAUACUGACGCUGAGGUGCGAAAGCGUGGGGAGCAAACAGGAGUAGAAACCCCAGUAGUCC
rnacentral:rRNA from 1 species